AGCUGCUUGGGGUCAGGGUGUAGCUACAUGAAUGGCAACAUGAAAAUAAAGCCCUAUGUUUCACUGUCAGCGAUUUUCAAGAUCAUUUAGCUACUUCGGACACGAGAAUUCCCUAAUUUAAUGUCUCUGUGAUCGCUCCCCUCCCUCCAUCAUGCACAUCGUGGUGGACGCGGUUUGGGCUGUGUGGAGUAUCGCGGCUGGGGUCUACGACUAUUUCCACACGAGCGCCAUGGAGGAGCGCAUUCACACACUCGAAAACGUCCUGUCCAUUCACCAGUUUGUGAUUGCUGGCCUCUCCGCUGGCCUUAUUCUUAUGAUGACGUAUAUUUUAUUCAGAAAACACUAAGACACAGACACCUCCCAUAUGUUUGGCUUCUGGAGCAUAAAAUGGGAGAAAGAGUGGGGAAGUACAUGCAUCGUUUUUUCAUUUUUUUUACAACUUGGAUUCGAUCUUGAGGAAGCUAGAAGUUGUCUUGUAUUUGCCUAACCCCUUGGCCAUCCUACAGUUCAGCCUCCUGCCAACAUGAGAUGAACUUUAUACCUUUUUGGCUCAUCAUGUAAAGCCCUGAAGAUAACUUUGCACAUUGACUGUUACCAAGCUUGAAGAAAGCCCAGCCUGGAUGUUGAAAUAGAUGUCUCACAGCAGGAAGGUCCCAAGUUCGACUCCCAGGCUGAGUUUGCAUGUUCUCCCUGUGUCUGCAUAGGUUUGUUCUGGGAACUGCAGUUUCCCCCAUCACUAAAAACAUGUACUAUAUAGCUCAAACAUUGACUGCCUUCUCCCUGGCUCUAGGAGUAAAUUUCCCAUUAUUUUUCCCUUAGUCUUUUUUUUUUUUUUAAAGUAAGUUUGAAAGCUUGCUCAGGGCUAAUCAGCUAUGUGGAAACUCAUGAAAGCAAGACUUGCACUUUGAACUCACAAUAUGCAUCUCACAGUUCGAUAUAUAUUGUAAUAUUUUGUGGAGACUAACAAAAUUGUGUAUAUGCAACUUUUUCCUUUUUAAAGUUUUGGGAAAACCUUGAAAAGCCUUUGAUACUGUAAUAAUAUGAAGAAUUACAAUUUAAAAGUGCUUAAGAGCAGUUAUUUCUUCAUGUAGUCUGCACUAAAAACACCAAAAUGAUCAUGGUCAGUGUAGUUCCAAUGUUUUCCAGCUAUCCUUGCACCAGGCAAGGCAAGUUUAUUUGUGUAGCACAAUUCAUACACAAAGUAAUUCAAAGUGCUUUACAGAAUAAGAAAGACAUUAGAAUCACCAUAACUAUUCAUUUAAUCAGAGAGAAUUGUAAUUUGAUACAUUGUGAUGGCCUCCGAUAUUAUUGUGAGACUUUUGACGAUACGAUAUCAUGAUAUUUUGGUUAUUAUGAUGUACUUUGAUUUAACCAUGUUUCUGAUUGUUACAGAAAGAAAAUUCUGAAUCUUGCGUUUUAAAGAUGCAUUGACUAACUUUUCUGGUCAAAUGCUUUUCUCCAUGGAGAUGUUAUUGCUUUGUCUUGAAUGUUUCACAGUAUGGUAUUAAACCGUUCUAUCUGCAUGGAGACCAAACCAGACCAAGUUACAGGUCAGAUCUGUGUAGAGGCAAGCCCGAUCUCAAGUCAGAAUACCUGUUUUUGUAGGUACUUUUGAGCUGUAAAUCCACUUGUAAUUUAAUAAAUGUAAGGUAGAGCUGUUUAAUGUCAUACUGUGGAACAUUCACGGCAGAGCAGUGACAUAUCCAUAGAAACAAGCAGGUGACAGACAUCCAACCAAAAAGUUAUAUAGUCCACCUUUAAAUGUGCUUUUUGGACUUAAAACAGCGCACAUAGCUGCUUAGUCUUCGUCGUGCCAUUAUUUGAAUGUUUGAAAGUAUGUGAAAAUUGAAUGGGAAAUUUACUUUUAGGACCCAAGCAAACCUUGAAGUGGACUCCCUUAAAGGCCAGGACUCCCCUUAAAAUCUCAGUGGGGUUAUUCUGGUUAAAUGUCUAAUUAAUGAAAACAAACUUAAUAUUUUCUCAUAGGUCAGUUUAUCCCUUAACUUAAUGAUGAAACUUGAAUUUUGUAACCAAAAUUGUAAGACAAAAUGUGUUUGAAUACCUUUAAAGAUGAUAACUUUAAAAUGUUGUUUAUAAUCUUGGUACAAUUCAAAAAAUACAUUUUGUCUUACAUUAACGGUUUUCUUUAACAAUACAGUUGUGUGCCCAAAAUAACUAAACUUCUAAACAUUGUGUAAUUUACUAAAAGUCAAUGAAAAUAAUUGAUUACAAGUGAGCACUGAUAAGAAGGAAUCGUAGACUUUGUUUUAUAGCUGUUCUCCCAAUGAAAAGCUUGUCUGCUGUGUUUCACUCCACUGGAUAGAUCUCACUGUUGACUACUAUUAAAACUGUUUACUUAAUGUAUAGGUUUUGUCUGAUCUACAUUUAUAUCAUGAUUUAAUGUUGUAUUUUGUCUUUGCACAUAGAGCUGCUCUUUGAAAUUCAAAUGUCUCAGUUUAUUUGAUAAUAAUGGUACUGAUGCUGUUUGGUGUUUUAAUGCCAUGUAUGCACCAUCUCUGUUUUAAAUGAAGCCUUGUAUCGAAAGGGAAACAAUUUGAUGAAUAAAUCAUGAUUUUAACCCAA